UUUUGGUUCUGCAUGUGUUGUCGGUAAGAUACCGUCAAAGAAGGAAAGCCUCGCUACAUCUCUGUUAACUCUAGACGUUUGUUGUUUGAGGUCAUUUCCAUGACUGAGGAGUUCCCUGAACUCGAUAGUCUCGAAACUUACCCCAAUUGUUGUUGGAAAAUAAUUAUCAGCGCUGACCUUUCUCUUUCUAAUAAAGUUACGUACAUGUAUAUAUACUUUGGAAUCAAACACUUUUCUCGUAAUGAAUACAUUGGUAUAUUUCGGUUCUGCUUGUGUCGUCGGUACGAUACCGUCAAAGAUAAAAGAAAACCUUGCUUCAUCUCUGUUAAGGAACCGGUCAACAUUUUUUUCAUGUAUCUUAGUGAUAUUUACCACCUCUUCUAAUGAACCGAGCGAUUUGAGCGCACCCCUUUCAGUAAGGUAUAUCGAUAAGAGAGUCCACUUUAAUUCACCAUCUACUCUAUCGAAUUGACGUAAGUGAACGAAUACUUCAUUUGCGUAGGAGAUAACAAAAAGGCCAACCCCUGCUCUAUAAGAUUAUCUGUCUCCUCAGUUUCCCAAUCUGAUAUUUCACUACCUGUGACAUAUCCAUCCAGUAGCUCAACAUCAGAACUGUCCAAACUUUCACAAUCUGACAGUAAAACUUUUUGUAUUUUGCUUUCCCUCUUAGUAAGAAAGAGGAAUGGAUUUUCAUCCUCGCUUGAACUAGUAUCCGAAUCUGACACCAUUAUAAUUGUUCAUAAUACAACACAUGGCGUUUUAAUUCUUCCAAAUACAAUCAUUUAAUACAAAUUUUCUGAUCGGACACAAAAUGGACAUCCUUGAUAGUUAACAUCAAAUCACUCUUCUUUUCGAAGAAGAAUAGAAUAUAUAGAAUAUAUCAUUUAUUGUCUUCUUCCAAAACUAAAGAAGCUUUACUUCAAGGUGAUUCAUAUUACAUAAAAUAACACAACUUAUACAAAAUAUAAAUACAAUCGUAUCAAAAUAUCAAUUGCAUUAAAGGAAUGAAUAAAUAAAAAUACAUUCAUAUAUUACAUAAAACAUUAGGAUAAAGGGAAGAAGACAAAAAAAGGAAGAAAUGAGAAGAUGUAUGAGUCAGUGAUAUAUUCUGUAUGCAGUAAGUUAGGAGCUCUUAACAGUUUAUCCAUGGUGUCUCCGAUGCCAUCAUCUUGGCUACAUCUCUUAGCUCUGGAUAUAUGCUUUAGUAUAUCAUGAGCGAUGAGUUUCCUGAACUCGAUUGUCUCGAAACUGACACCUAUUGUUGUUGAAAAAUAAUUAUCAGCGCUGACGUUUCUCUUUCUAAUUAAGUUACGUAUAUGUACAUAUACUUUGGAAUCAAACACUGUACUCGUAAUGAAUACCUUGGUGUAUUUUGGUUCUGUGUGUGUUGUCGGUAAGAUACCGUCAAAGAUGGAAAGCCUCGCUACAUCUCUGUAAAGGAACCGGUCAACAUUUUUUUCAUGUAUCUUAGUGAUAUCUCCCACCUCUUCUAAUGAACCGAGCAAUUUGAGCGCACCCCUUUCAGUAAGGAAUAUCGAUGAAGGAGUCAACUUUACUUUCCCAUCUACUCUAUCGAAUUGACGCAAGUGAACGAAUACUUCAUUUGCGUAGGAGAUAACAAAAAGGCCAACCCCUGCUCUAUAAGAUUAUCUGUCUCCUCAGUUUCCCAAUCUGAUAUUUCACUACCUGUGACAUAUCCACCCAGUAGCUCAACAUCAGAACUUUUCAAACUCUCACAAUCCGACAGUCAAACUUUUUGUUAUUGCUUUUCAUCUUGGUAAGAAAGAUGAAUGGAUUUUCAUCCUCGCUUGAACUAGUAUCCGAAUCUGACACCAUUAUAAUUGUCUGUUUUUGUUUUCUGAUGUUAACAAACUCAUCCAUCUUUAGAGUAUGGAGUCCAUGUUUUGGGGCUUCCUUUACCCCAUUUCUGCGUAGGGCUAGAGUGACCAUUUCUUUCUGAUCGAAACGAGACAAACAAGCAAGGUUGGAUAUUAACAUCCCACCCUUCCACCUACCACCUGGUUACUUCCUCUCUUUUAAACCGAGCAAUUUGAGUGCACCCCUUUCAGUAAGGUAUAUCGAUGAAGGAGUCGAGAAAGAUGAAUGGAUUUUCAUCCUCGCUUGAACUAGUAUCCGAAUCUGACGCCAUUGUAAUUGUCCGUUUUUGUUUUCUGAUGUUUACAAACUCAUGCCCACGUCUUCUACGGAACUGACCAAGAAAGUCUAGAUCUCCAAAUAUCGAUUCCGAUACUAGAUUAGUGAGUUUGCAGCUCUUCAUUCGUGAUCUUAUUUCCUCACUUGGCCUUUCACCGAACUUUCCUCCGGGCAGAAAGUCAUUUUUUCACUUUAAAAGCUGAAAAUGUUAGGCUCUGCCCUAAUCCCAACCUGCCUUCUCAUGGGCCAGUACCAUUUUGCCUACUUGGAGACGUUUUUUAGGGUCAAUAUAGUGCAUCCUCUAACAGACUUAAAGUAUGGAGGUAGAUUGGCAAAGUGAACCCCUGCCAUCCUCCUUGUAAAACUUACAUGGGGCUCUAAUGUGCUGGGAAUGUUGCCUGAAGUUUGUCUGGACAGUAGGGAGGAAUUCUCUUAGCAAAUUAUUCAGUUGGUCUACCCUAGAAUUAUAAAUAUCAAUGUGGACGUCAUGUUUGUGAGCUCUAGUCUUUUUACGGGGAAGUAACUCCGUGAACGUGAUAUGGGCUUGUGGGUUCAGGUACCUAACACUGUCUAUUAGGUGAUGGAUGUCUCUCAUAACCUUGUCAGGGGCGAGUGUGGGGCAGAGAUGUCAUUGCCUCCAAUUUGGAAAAUGACACACUGGUACUUAAAAAUUGAUAAAGAAUGCAAUCUGUUAAUGAGGGAACCUACCGUUGCUCCAGGGAACCUGUGAAUCUCGAUAUUGUCUUUUGCUAGAUUAAGGUUGGGUGAGUACUGGCAAAGGUCUCGUAUGAGGCUGUGUCCCGUGAAUCUCAAUAUUGUCUUUUGCUAGAUUAAGGUUGGGCAAGUACUGGCCGAGGUCCCGUAUGAGGCUGUGUCCCGUGAAUCUCGAUAUUGUCUUUUGCUAGAUUAAGGUUGAAUGAGUACUGGCCGAGGUCCCGUAUGAGGCUGUGUCCCAUGAUUAAGGUAUUUAUCUUGAGGACAAAAUUAUGAAUCCAGUGAUCUUAUACAC
rnacentral:lncRNA from 1 species